rnacentral:rRNA from 1 species
UACGUAGGUGGCAAGCGUUACUCGGAAUCACUAGGCGUAAAGCGCAGGUAGGCGGUUUGGUAAGUUUGUUGUGAAAGCUCCCGGCUCAACUGGGAGAGGUCAACGAAUACUGCCAGGCUUGAGCACGGUAGAGGCUGGUGGAAUUCCCGGUGUAGCGGUGGAAUGCGUAGAGAUCGGGAAGAACAGCGGUGGCGAAGGCGGCCAGCUGGGCCGUUGCUGACGCUGAGGCGCGACAGCGUGGGGAGCAAACAGG